rnacentral:rRNA from 1 species
UACGGGGGGGGCAAGCGUUGUUCGGAAUUACUGGGCGUAAAGGGCUCGUAGGCGGCCAACUAAGUCGGAUGUGAAAUCCCCAGGCUUAACCUGGGAACUGCAUCCGAUACUGGAUGGCUUGAAUCCGGGAGAGGGAUGCAGAAUUCCAGGUGUAGCGGUGAAAUGCGUAGAUAUCAGGAGGAACACCGGUGGCGAAGGCGGGUCUCUGGACCGAUACUGACACUGAGGAGCGAAAGCGUGGGGAGCGAACAGG